rnacentral:rRNA from 1 species
GGGGAACCAGGACUUUUACUGUGAAAAAAUUAGAGUGCUCCAGGCAGGCCUAUGCUCGAAUACAUUAGCAUGGAAUAAUAGAAUAGGACGUGUGGUUCUAUUUUGUUGGUUUCUAGGACCGCCGUAAUGAUUAAUAGGGACAGUCGGGGGCAUCAGUAUUCAAUUGUCAGAGGUGAAAUUCUUGGAUUUAUUGAAGACUAACUACUGCGAAAGCAUUUGCCAAGGAUGUUUUCAUUAAUCAGGAACGAAAGUUAGGGGAUCGAAGACGAUCAGAUACCGUCGUAGUCUUAACCAUAAACUAUGCCGACUAGGGAUCGGACGGUGUUAUUUUUUGACCCGUUCGGCACCUUACGAGAAAUCAAAGUGCUUGGGCUCCAGGGGGAGUAUGGUCGCAAGGGCUGAAACUUAAAGAAAUUGACGGAAGGGCACCACCAGGGGUGGAGCCUGCGGCUUAAUUUGACCCAACACGGGGAAACUCACCAGGUCCAGACACAAUGAGGAUUGACAGAUUGAGAGCUCUUUCUUGAUUUUGUGGGUGGUGGUGCAUGGCCGUUCUUAGUUGGUGGAGUGAUUUGUCUGCUUAAUUGCGAUAACGAACGAGACCU